UUAAGCGACUAAGCGUACACGGUGGAUGCCCUGGCAGUCAGAGGCGAUGAAGGACGUGCUAAUCUGCGAUAAGCGUCGGUAAGGUGAUAUGAACCGUUAUAACCGGCGAUUUCCGAAUGGGGAAACCCAGUGUGAUUCGUCACACUAUCAUUAACUGAAUCCAUAGGUUAAUGAGGCGAACCGGGGGAACUGAAACAUCUAAGUACCCCGAGGAAAAGAAAUCAACCGAGAUUCCCCCAGUAGCGGCGAGCGAACGGGGAGCAGCCCAGAGCCUGAAUCAGUGUGUGUGUUAGUGGAAGCGUCUGGAAAGGCGUGCGAUACAGGGUGACAGCCCCGUACACAAAAAUGCACAUAUUGUGAGCUCGAUGAGUAGGGCGGGACACGUGGUAUCCUGUCUGAAUAUGGGGGGACCAUCCUCCAAGGCUAAAUACUCCUGACUGACCGAUAGUGAACCAGUACCGUGAGGGAAAGGCGAAAAGAACCCCGGCGAGGGGAGUGAAAAAGAACCUGAAACCGUGUACGUACAAGCAGUGGGAGCACGCUUAGGCGUGUGACUGCGUACCUUUUGUAUAAUGGGUCAGCGACUUAUAUUCUGUAGCAAGGUUAACCGAAUAGGGGAGCCGAAGGGAAACCGAGUCUUAACUGGGCGUUAAGUUGCAGGGUAUAGACCCGAAACCCGGUGAUCUAGCCAUGGGCAGGUUGAAGGUUGGGUAACACUAACUGGAGGACCGAACCGACUAAUGUUGAAAAAUUAGCGGAUGACUUGUGGCUGGGGGUGAAAGGCCAAUCAAACCGGGAGAUAGCUGGUUCUCCCCGAAAGCUAUUUAGGUAGCGCCUCGUGAAUUCAUCUCCGGGGGUAGAGCACUGUUUCGGCAAGGGGGUCAUCCCGACUUACCAACCCGAUGCAAACUGCGAAUACCGGAGAAUGUUAUCACGGGAGACACACGGCGGGUGCUAACGUCCGUCGUGAAGAGGGAAACAACCCAGACCGCCAGCUAAGGUCCCAAAGUCAUGGUUAAGUGGGAAACGAUGUGGGAAGGCCCAGACAGCCAGGAUGUUGGCUUAGAAGCAGCCAUCAUUUAAAGAAAGCGUAAUAGCUCACUGGUCGAGUCGGCCUGCGCGGAAGAUGUAACGGGGCUAAACCAUGCACCGAAGCUGCGGCAGCGACACUAUGUGUUGUUGGGUAGGGGAGCGUUCUGUAAGCCUGUGAAGGUGUACUGUGAGGUAUGCUGGAGGUAUCAGAAGUGCGAAUGCUGACAUAAGUAACGAUAAAGCGGGUGAAAAGCCCGCUCGCCGGAAGACCAAGGGUUCCUGUCCAACGUUAAUCGGGGCAGGGUGAGUCGACUCCUAAGGCGAGGCCGAAAGGCGUAGUCGAUGGGAAACAGGUUAAUAUUCCUGUACUUGGUGUUACUGCGAAGGGGGGACGGAGAAGGCUAUGUUGGCCGGGCGACGGUUGUCCCGGUUUAAGCGUGUAGGCUGGUUUUCCAGGCAAAUCCGGAAAACUAAGGCUGAGGCGUGAUGACGAGGCACUACGGUGCUGAAGCAACAAAUGCCCUGCUUCCAGGAAAAGCCUCUAAGCAUCAGGUAACAUCAAAUCGUACCCCAAACCGACACAGGUGGUCAGGUAGAGAAUACCAAGGCGCUUGAGAGAACUCGGGUGAAGGAACUAGGCAAAAUGGUGCCGUAACUUCGGGAGAAGGCACGCUGAUAUGUAGGUGAAGUCCCUCGCGGAUGGAGCUGAAAUCAGUCGAAGAUACCAGCUGGCUGCAACUGUUUAUUAAAAACACAGCACUGUGCAAACACGAAAGUGGACGUAUACGGUGUGACGCCUGCCCGGUGCCGGAAGGUUAAUUGAUGGGGUCAGCGCAAGCGAAGCUCUUGAUCGAAGCCCCGGUAAACGGCGGCCGUAACUAUAACGGUCCUAAGGUAGCGAAAUUCCUUGUCGGGUAAGUUCCGACCUGCACGAAUGGCGUAAUGAUGGCCAGGCUGUCUCCACCCGAGACUCAGUGAAAUUGAACUCGCUGUGAAGAUGCAGUGUACCCGCGGCAAGACGGAAAGACCCCGUGAACCUUUACUAUAGCUUGACACUGAACAUUGAGCCUUGAUGUGUAGGAUAGGUGGGAGGCUUUGAAGUGUGGACGCCAGUCUGCAUGGAGCCGACCUUGAAAUACCACCCUUUAAUGUUUGAUGUUCUAACGUUGACCCGUAAUCCGGGUUGCGGACAGUGUCUGGUGGGUAGUUUGACUGGGGCGGUCUCCUCCUAAAGAGUAACGGAGGAGCACGAAGGUUGGCUAAUCCUGGUCGGACAUCAGGAGGUUAGUGCAAUGGCAUAAGCCAGCUUGACUGCGAGCGUGACGGCGCGAGCAGGUGCGAAAGCAGGUCAUAGUGAUCCGGUGGUUCUGAAUGGAAGGGCCAUCGCUCAACGGAUAAAAGGUACUCCGGGGAUAACAGGCUGAUACCGCCCAAGAGUUCAUAUCGACGGCGGUGUUUGGCACCUCGAUGUCGGCUCAUCACAUCCUGGGGCUGAAGUAGGUCCCAAGGGUAUGGCUGUUCGCCAUUUAAAGUGGUACGCGAGCUGGGUUUAGAACGUCGUGAGACAGUUCGGUCCCUAUCUGCCGUGGGCGCUGGAGAACUGAGGGGGGCUGCUCCUAGUACGAGAGGACCGGAGUGGACGCAUCACUGGUGUUCGGGUUGUCAUGCCAAUGGCACUGCCCGGUAGCUAAAUGCGGAAGAGAUAAGUGCUGAAAGCAUCUAAGCACGAAACUUGCCCCGAGAUGAGUUCUCCCUGACUCCUUGAGAGUCCUGAAGGAACGUUGAAGACGACGACGUUGAUAGGUCGGGUGUGUAAGCGCAGCGAUGCGUUGAGCUAACCGGUACUAAUGAACCGUGAGGCUUAACCUU
rnacentral:rRNA from 2 species